rnacentral:lncRNA from 1 species
GAUAUGCAGGGUUAACUACUGCGAUGUUGAAUCACCUGAAUAUAUGAGACCACUGCCAAGACAUUCAGUUUUUAAAGAAGUAAGCUGAAGAACCACACAGAAGAGCUCCAGGCUGGAGAGGACACUGAAUCCACCAUGCUUAAGCUUCCAAGGGCAAGAUUUAACAGCACAUCCUUGGGAUAAGGCAGCUCCCUAUUUCCUAUGUAGAAAUUACAGCUCUUUGAGUUUUGUAAUCUUUCCACGCGUUGACAGAAGCUGAACUGGGUUUGGAUUCCACUCUGGAAACCAAGCAAUAAAAAUUGAGGAGCUACAAGUCUGGCA